rnacentral:tRNA from 1 species
GGAAACAUAAGGUCUGACUCCUCCAUCUCAUUGAAAGUCCUAGGUUUGAGAUGGUUUGGUCGCAGGUUCAAAUCCUGCUGUUUCCA